rnacentral:rRNA from 1 species
GUGGGGAAUCUUCCACAAUGGACGAAAGUCUGAUGGAGCAACGCCGCGUGAGUGAUGAAGGUCUUCGGAUUGUAAAGCUCUGUUAAUCGGGACGAAAGAGCCUAGUGUGAAUAAUGCUAGGAAGUGACGGUACCGGAAUAGAAAGCCACGGCUAACUACGUGCCAGCAGCCGCGGUAAUACGUAGGUGGCAAGCGUUGUCCGGAAUUAUUGGGCGUAAAGCGCGCGCAGGCGGAUCUGCCAGUCUGUCUUAAAAGUUCGGGGCUUAACCCCGUGAUGGGAUGGAAACUACAGAUCUAGUGUAUCGGGGAGGAAAGUGGAAGUCCUAGUGUAGCGGUGAAAUGCGUAGAUAUUAGGAAGAACACCAGUGGCGAAGGCGACUUUCUGGACGAAAACUGACGCUGAGGCGCGAAAGCCAGGGGAGCGAACGGGAUUAGAUACCCCGGUAGUCC